rnacentral:rRNA from 1 species
CUUUCAACAACGGAUCUCUUGGCUCUCGCAUCGAUGAAGAACGCAGCGAAAUGCGAUAAGUAGUGUGAAUUGCAGAACUUUGUGAACCAUCGAAUUCUUUGAACGCAAAUUGCGCCUUUAUUUGAGGCAUGUCUGUUUGAGGGCACC